UAGGGAAUCUGCGGCAAUUGACGAAAGUCUGACCGAGCAACGCCGCGUGAGUGAAGAAGGUUUUCGGAUCGUAAAACUCUGUUGUUAGAGAAGAACAAGGACGUUAGUAACUGAACGUCCCCUGACGGUAUCUAACCAGAAAGCCACGGCUAACUACGUGCCAGCAGCCGCGGUAAUACGUAGGUGGCAAGCGUUGUCCGGAUUUAUUGGGCGUAAAGCGAGCGCAGGCGGUUUCUUAAGUCUGAUGUGAAAGCCCCCGGCUCAACCGGGGAGGGUCAUUGGAAACUGGGAGACUUGAGUGCAGAAAAGGAGAGUGGAAUUCCAUGUGUAGCGGUGAAAUGCGUAGAUAUAUGGAGGAACACCAGUGGCGAAGGCGGCUCUCUGGUCUGUAACUGACGCUGAGGCUCGAAAGCGUGGGGAGCAAACAGG
rnacentral:rRNA from 1 species